AGAUUGAACGCUGGCGGCAGGCCUAACACAUGCAAGUCGGACGGUAGCACAGGGGAGCUUGCUCCCCGGGUGACGAGUGGCGGACGGGUGAGUAAUGUCUGGGAAACUGCCCGAUGGAGGGGGAUAACUACUGGAAACGGUAGCUAAUACCGCAUAACGUCGCAAGACCAAAAAGGGGGACCUUCGGGCCUCUUGCCAUCGGAUGUGCCCAGAUGGGAUUAGCUAGUAGGUGGGGUAACGGCUCACCUAGGCGACGAUCCCUAGCUGGUCUGAGAGGAUGACCAGCCACACUGGAACUGAGACACGGUCCAGACUCCUACGGGAGGCAGCAGUGGGGAAUAUUGGACAAUGGGCGGAAGCCUGAUGCAGCAACGCCGCGUGCGGGAUGACGGCCUUCGGGUUGUAAACCGCUUUCGCCUGUGACGAAGCGUGAGUGACGGUAAUGGGUAAAGAAGCACCGGCUAACUACGUGCCAGCAGCCGCGGUGAUACGUAGGGUGCGAGCGUUGUCCGGAAUUACUGGGCGUAAAGGGCUCGUAGGUGGUUUGUCGCGUCGUCUGUGAAAUUCUGGGGCUUAACUCCGGGCGUGCAGGCGAUACGGGCAUAACUUGAGUGCUGUAGGGGAGACUGGAAUUCCUGGUGUAGCGGUGGAAUGCGCAGAUAUCAGGAGGAACACCAGUGGCGAAGGCGGUUCUCUGGGCCUUUCCUGACGCUGAGGAGCGAAAGCGUGGGGAGCGAACAGGCUUAGAUACCCUGGUAGUCCACGCU
rnacentral:rRNA from 1 species